GCCGAAGUGGUGGAACUGGUAGACACGCUAUCUUGAGGGGGUAGUGGCGCAAGCCGUGCGGGUUCGACUCCCGCCUUCGGCACCA
rnacentral:tRNA from 1 species